rnacentral:rRNA from 1 species
ACUCCUACGGGAGGCAGCAGUGAGGAAUAUUGCACAAUGGGGGCAACCCUGAUGCAGCGACGCCGCGUGGAUGAUGAAGGCCUUCGGGUUGUAAAGUCCUUUUGCCACUGACGAGAACGGACGGUAGGUGGCGAAUAAGCCCCGGCUAACUACGUGCCAGCAGCCGCGGUAAAACGUAGGGGGCGAGCGUUAUCCGGAGUUACUGGGCGUAAAGGGUGUGUAGGCGGUGCUAUAAGUGGGGUGUGAAACACUCAGGCUAAACCUGGGAGGUGCGCCUCAGACUGUAGGACUAGAGUGGGAUAGAGGGGCGUGGAAUUCCGGGUGGAGCGGUGAAAUGUGUAGAGAUCCGGAGGAACACCAGAGGCGCAAGCGGCGCCCUGGGUCCCAACUGACGCUGAAACACGAAAGCUUGGGGAGCGAACGGGAUUAGAGACCCCGGUAGUCCAAGCCGUAAACGAUGCAGACUCGGUGUCCACCUUCGCAAGAGGGGGGGCGCCACAGCUAACGCGAUAAGUCUGCCGCCUGGGGAGUACGGUCGCAAGACUAAAACUCAAAGGAAUUGACGGGGGCCCGCACAAGCAGCGGAGCGUGUGGUUUAAUUCGAGGCUACACGAAGAACCUUACCCAGGUUUGACAUAGGUGUGGUAGCGAAGCGAAAGCUGAGCGACCCGUAAGGGAGCAUCAACAGGUGCUGCAUGGCUGUCGUCAGCUCGUGUCGUGAGAUGUUCGGUUAAGUCCGAAAACGAGCGCAACCCCCGGUGCCAGUUACACGUGUCUGGCGCGACUGCCCUCGAGAAGGGGGAGGAAGGUGGGGAUGACGUCAAGUCAGCAUGGCCUUUAUAUCUGGGGCUACACACACGCUACAAUGGUCGGUACAGUGGGUUGCGAGACCGCGAGGUGGAGCCAAUCCCCCAAAGC